rnacentral:rRNA from 1 species
GGAGGAAUACCAGUGGCGAAGGCGGCCUUCUGGACUGACACUGACACUGAGGUGCGAAAGCGUGGGUAGCAAACAGGAUUAGAUACCCUGGUAGUCCACGCCGUAAACGAUGUCGACCAGCCGUUGGGUGCCUAGCGCACUUUGUGGCGAAGUUAACGCGAUAAGUCGACCGCCUGGGGAGUACGGCCGCAAGGUUAAAACUCAAAUGAAUUGACGGGGGCCCGCACAAGCGGUGGAGCAUGUGGUUUAAUUCGAUGCAACGCGAAGAACCUUACCUACUCUUGACAUCCUGCGAACUUGUGAGAGAUCACUUGGUGCCUUCGGGAGCGCAGAGACAGGUGCUGCAUGGCUGUCGUCAGCUCGUGUUGUGAAAUGUUGGGUUAAGUCCCGUAACGAGCGCAACCCUUGUCCUUAUUUGCCAGCGGGUAAUGCCGGGAACUCUAAGGAGACUGCCGGUGACAAACCGGAGGAAGGUGGGGACGACGUCAAGUCAUCAUGGCCCUUACGAGUAGGGCUACACACGUGCUACAAUGGCCGGUACAAAGGGUUGCGAGCUCGCGAGAGUCAGCUAAUCCCGAAAAGCCGGUCUCAGUCCGGAUCGGAGUCUGCAACUCGACUCCGUGAAGUCGGAAUCGCUAGUAAUCGUGAAUCAGAAUGUCACGGUGAAUACGUUCCCGGGCCUUGUACACACCGCCCGU